ACUACGGGAGGCAGCAGUGAGGAAUAUUGGUCAAUGGGCUUACGCCUGAACCAGCCAAGUCGCGUGAGGGAAGACUGCCCUAUGGGUUGUAAACCUCUUUUGUCAGGGAGCAACGCCUGCUACGUGUAGCCGGACUGAGAGUACCUGAAGAAAAAGCAUCGGCUAACUCAGUGCCAGCAGCCGCGGUAAUAAGGAGGAUGCGAGCGUUAUCCGGAUUUAUUGGGUUUAAAGGGUGCGUAGGCGGAAGGCGAAGUCAGCGGUAAAGUAGCGGGGCUCAACCUCGCUCCGCCGUUGAAACUGGCGUUAUUGAGUGGGCGUGAAGUAUGCGGAAUGCGUGGUGGAGCGGUGAAAUGCAUAGAUAUCACGCAGAACUCCGAUUGCGAAGGCAGCAUACCGGCGCCCAACUGACGCUGAAGCACGAAAGCGUGGGUAUCGAACAGGAUUAGAUACCCGGGUAGUC
rnacentral:rRNA from 1 species